rnacentral:rRNA from 1 species
AGAGUUUGAUCCUGGCUCAGAACGAACGUUGAUGGCGUGCCUCAUACAUGCAAGUCGAGCGCCGUAGCAAUACGGAGCGGCGAACGGGUGAGUAACACGUAAACAAUCUGCCCUGAAGCGGGGAAUAACUAUCCCAACGGAUAGCUAAUACCGCAUAAUGAUGGAGACGGCAUCGUCUCUUCUCAAAAGGCUUCGGCCACUUCAGGAUGAGUUUGCGUCCCAUUAGCUUGUUGGCGGGGUAAUGGCCCACCAAGGCUACGAUGGGUAUCCGGCCUGAGAGGGUGUACGGACACAUUGGGACUGAGAUACGGCCCAGACUCCUACGGGAGGCAGCAGUAGGGAAUUUUGCGCAAUGGGGGAAACCCUGACGCAGCAACGCCAUGUGUGGGAUGAAGCAUUUCGGUGUGUAAACCACUGUCAGCGGGGAAUAAACGACAGCUUCGGGCUGUUUUGAAUGUACCCGCAAAGGAAGCCCCGGCUAACUUCGUGCCAGCAGCCGCGGUAAUACGAGGGGGGCAAAUGUUGUUCGGAAUCACUGGGCGUAAAGGGAGCGUAGGCGGGUUCUUAAGUUAGGUGUUUAAUCCCGGGGCCCAACCCCGGACCGGCACUUAAAACUGGGAAUCUUGAAUAGUGGAGAGGUCGGUGGAAUUGGAGGUGUAGCGGUGGAAUGCGUAGAGAUCUCCAAGAACACCAGUUGCGAAGGCGGCCGACUGGACACAUAUUGACGCUGAGGCUCGAAAGCAUGGGGAGCAAACAGGAUUAGAUACCCUGGUAGUC